GUUCAAUCACAUGGAUCAGCCGGUAGAGCAUGAGACUCUCCAACUCAGGGCCAUGGGUUCGAGCCCCACGUUGGACA